AUUGAACGCUGGCGGCAGGCCUAACACAUGCAAGUCGAGCGGAUGAGAGGAGCUUGCUCUUCGAUUCAGCGGCGGACGGGUGAGUAAUGCCUAGGAAUCUGCCCAGUAGUGGGGGACAACGUUUCGAAAGGAACGCUAAUACCGCAUACGUCCUACGGGAGAAAGUGGGGGAUCUUCGGACCUCACGCUAUUGGAUGAGCCUAGGUCGGAUUAGCUAGUUGGUAGGGUAAAGGCCUACCAAGGCGACGAUCCGUAACUGGUCUGAGAGGAUGAUCAGGCACACUGGAACUGAGACACGGUCCAGACUCCUACGGGAGUCAGCAGUGGGGAAUAUUGGACAAUGGGCGCAAGCCUGAUCCAGCCAUGCCGCGUGUGUGAAGAAGGCCCUCGGGUCGUAAAGCACUUUAAGUUGGGAGGAAGGGCUUACAGCGAAUACCUGUGAGUUUUGACGUUACCGACGGAAUAAGCACCGGCUAACUUCGUGCCAGCCGCCGCCGUAA
rnacentral:rRNA from 1 species